UAAUACGGAGGGUGCGAGCGUUAAUCGGAAUGACUGGGCGUAAAGCGCGCGUAGGUGGUUUGUUAAGUUGGAUGUGAAAGCCCAGGGCUCAACCUUGGAACUGCAUCCAAAACUGGCAGGCUAGAGUACGGUAGAGGGGGGUAGAAUUUCAGGUGUAGCGGUGAAAUGCGUAGAGAUCUGAAGGAAUGCCAGUGGCGAAGGCGGCCCCCUGGACUGAUACUGACACUGAAGUGCGAAAGCGUGGGGAGCGAACAGGAUUAGAUACCCUGGUAGUCCACGCCGUAAACGAUGUCUACUAGCCGUUGGGCAGCUUGACUGUUUAGUGGCGCAGCUAACGCGAUAAGUAGACCGCCUGGGGAGUACGGCCGCAAGGUUA
rnacentral:rRNA from 1 species